GGACUCCGACUACUGAAGGCCCAAGACUCUUGGCGGUCUGAAUCUGGGGUCCCAGCUGCCUUGCCAGGAUGGCAGAUAUCUCUCCACUAAUGCAGGUGUCUUAGAAGUUCCAGUGGCUAGAAUUCCAAGAUCAAGGUGUCAGCAGCAUGGUUCUUUCUGAGAGCUGUGAAGAAGAAUCCGUUCCAUGCCUCUCCCCCAGUUUCUGGUGGUGUGCUGGCAGUCUUUGGCAUUCUUUGGCCUGCAGACGCAUCACCCUAAUCUCAGCCCAGCUCCGGAACGCCUUUCCCAUGUUUGGUGUGUUUUCUACCUAAUGAGUUUUGAUGGAAGUGAAGGCUGUUAUUUACCUCUGGAAGCUAAAAAUACCAGCUCCCUGGUCAUCUCAGAGUUGGUUUCCGAUGCAACUAAAAACAUCAACUGAUAUGAGGUCCAAAAGAUGGAAUUUUAAGCACCAAAGACGCUCCCUUAUGGGCAAAGUCUCAAUAGGACAUCUGCAUGUUCAGUUGAGAUUCUGCUUUCCCCUCAGAUGACAGAAUUAUUGGCAACCAGUUAAAUUGACGCAAUUGGAAACCCAGAAACAUGAUCAACAAAGAUAAGGAGAUGGAGAUACCAGUCACCCCUAUCAAAGUGGCAAGUGGGAGGGGGAUGCUGGUUGGUCUGUCGGAGCUGACGAAGGAAUGGGAUUGGAAUGUUUCUUUUACCAAUUAUGUAAACACAGCCUGGAGUUCCGAGAUGAGUCCAUCUCACUUGCUCAGAACUUUGCCUGGUGAGAGCGGUUACAAGCGAACAAGGUGGAAAUGAAAGAAACCCUGACUUUCCCACUAGGAAGGAAGAGACUGUUCCUUCUUGUGAUGUACUCUGAAGAAAAAUUCUAGGAUUUGGACAGAUUUCUUGGGUUAUAAAACAUGAUUUUCUUCUCUGUUUCUUGGGCUUUUAUAAUGGGUACUGUUGUUUUCUUGCAAAGCUUUAAUGAUUCCAUAAGGACUUGUAUAAAGUUUAUGGGAGAAUUUUCAAUGUAGAUGUGAAUGGCAGAAACCCAAGAAUCUGUGUGAGGUUGAAUAAGAUCCUGUGUCUCCAGAGAGGUCUGAUGGGGAGACACAGAUCUAAAUUUUAAAGGUGGUUUGGGCCUUCUCAAUCAUAUAUUAAGGUCCUUUUAUGUUAUAGAUAAGUAAAUUAAGGCCCAGAAAGAUUAAUAGCCCAAGGUCCCAAGACCUGCUUGAGACCUGUGCCCCAUUUCUGACUAAUAUUCUUCAUGAUAUUGUAUCACUCUGUAUCAAAACCAACCAACCAAUAAAACCAACCAACCAACCAACCAACAGAAAA
rnacentral:lncRNA from 1 species